UAUGGCGUCAGGAGUGAACGCUGGCGGCGUGCAUAACACAUUCAAGUCGAACGGUGAAGUCCCUCGGGGACGGAGCAGUGGCGGACGGGUGAGUAACGCGUGAGCAACCUGCCAUACGAUGGGGGAUAACACAGGGAAACUUGUGCUAAUACCGCAUGACACAUCGGGACCGCAUGAUCCUGAUGUCAAAGAUUCAUUGCUGUAUGAUGGGCUCGCGUAUGAUUAGACAGUUGGCAGGGUAACGGCCUACCAAAUCAACGAUCAUUAGCCGAACUGAGAGGUUGAACGGCCACAUUGGAACUGAGAAACGGUCCAGACUCCUACGGGAGGCAGCAGUGGGGAAUAUUGGGCAAUGGGCGAAAGCCUGACCCAAGCGACGCCGCGUGAGGGAAGAAGGUCUUCGGAUUGUAAACCUCUUUCAGCAGGGAAGAAGAGAGUGACGGUACCUGCAGAAGAAGUCACGGCUAACUACGUGCCAGCCGCGGC
rnacentral:rRNA from 1 species